rnacentral:misc_RNA from 1 species
GUCUCUUUCUUUCUUUAUUUUCCUGCAAAAUUUAGGAGGAAAGGGUAUUUAUGAGUGCAAUUAUUAGGAAUGGAAUUGAAAUGGGGUUUUCUCAAUUUUGUUUGGUUACUAGGAAACUGUGAAAAUCCAUGAAUAUGUAGCAAAUUCGAUUGUGUAAAUUCUCACAAAUGUUAGAGGUGGGUUCUGCAGCUCAAGCUAGCUGGCCAUUAAAGUAAUUGUGAAAGGUCAAAAAGGGCAAGAACCA